rnacentral:rRNA from 1 species
UACGAACCGUACAAACGUUAUUCGGAAUUACUGGGCUUAAAGGGUGCGUAGGCGGCCAAGUAAGUGAGGUGUGAAAUCCCUCGGCUCAACCGAGGAACUGCGCUUCAUACUGCUUGGCUUGAGGGAGACAGGGGUAAGCGGAACUGAUGGUGGAGCGGUGAAAUGCGUUGAUAUCAUCAGGAACACCGGUGGCGAAAGCGGCUUACUGGGUCUCUUCUGACGCUGAGGUACGAAAGCUAGGGGAGCGAACAGG